CCUACGGGAGGCAGCAGUGGGGGAUAUUGCACAAUGGGGGGAACCCUGAUGCAGCGACGCCGCGUGGGUGAAGAAGCGCCUCGGCGCGUAAAGCCCUGUCAGCAGGGAAGACAAUGACGGUACCUGAAGAAGAAGCCCCGGCUCACUACGUGCCAGCAGCCGCGGUAAUACGUAGGGGGCAAGCGUUAUCCGGAUUUACUGGGUGUAAAGGGGGCGCAGGCGGCGAGGCAGGCCAGUAGUGAAAGUCCGGGGCCCAACCCCGGGACGGCGGAUGGAACUGCGUGGCUGGAGUGCAGGAGAGGCAGGCGGAAUUCCUGGUGUAGCGGUGAAAUGCGUAGAUAUCAGGAGGAACACCGGUGGCGAAGGCGGCCUGCUGGACUGCAACUGACGUUGAGGCCCGAAAGCGUGGGGAGCAAACAGGAUUAGAUACCCUGGUAGUC
rnacentral:rRNA from 1 species